rnacentral:misc_RNA from 1 species
GAAGUGGGACGGAUAUGAGUGACUUAGAAUCUGAGGCAGAACCACAGAUUCCUGCUCCUACUGCUCCUGCAAAAGACAAGGCAAAAACAGCUCAAAAAGAACAAAGAAGGAAGCAAAAAGAGGAAACUGGUAAACCAUCUGGCAAAAAGGCUAAAACUGGUAAAAAAUUGACAGCAGAAUCUGAUACUACUGCUGCAACUGAGUUAGCAGCUGGCCCCAUUAUUCCCUCGACACCAGGAACUGAAAUGGCUGC